rnacentral:rRNA from 1 species
GCGCACGGCUGAGGAACACGUGACUAACCUACCCCGGUGUGGGGGAUAACGGGUCGAAAGACUCGCUAAUCCCGCAUACGAUCCGCCUCGGCGGAGGAAAGCCGUAAGGCGCACUGGGCGGGGGUCGCGUCCCAUUAGAUAGUUGGUGUGGUAAUGGCGCACCAAGUCGAUGAUGGGUCUCUGGUCUGAGAGGACGACCAGACAGAUUGGGACUGAGACACGGCCCAAACUCCUACGGGGGGCAGCAGCAAGGAAUUUUCGGCAAUGGGCGCAAGCCUGACCGAGCAACGCCGCGUGGAGGAUGACGGCUCUUGGGUUGUAAACUCCUUUUGGGGGGGACGAUAAUGACGGUACCCUCCGAAUCAGGCCCGGCUAACUACGUGCCAGCAGCCGCGGUAAUACGUAGGGGCCAAGCGUUGUCCGGAAUUACUGGGCGUAAAGCGUGGGUAGGUGGUCGGUGAUGUGCCGCGUGAAAGCGCCGGAGUAAUGCCGGCGAGGUCGCGGUAGACACACGGACUCGAGGCUCGCAGAGGAACGUGGAAUUCCCGGUGUAGUGGUGAAAUGCGUAGAUAUCGGGAGGAACACCAGUGGCGCAAGCGGCGUUCUGGGCGAGACCUGACACUGAGCCACGACGGCGUGGGGAGCAAACAGGAUUAGAUACCCUGGUAGUCCACGCAGUAAACGAUGCAUACCAGGUGUGGGAUGGCGUUCGCGUCGUUCCGUGCCGCGGCUUACGCGAUGAGUAUGCCGCCUGGGGACUACGAGCGCAAGCUUAAAACUCAAAGGAAUUGACUGGGGCCCGCAC